GAUGAACGCUGGCGGCGUGCCUAAUACAUGCCAGUCGAGCGAACGGACGAGAAGCUUGCUUCUCUGAUGUUAGCGGCGGACGGGUGAGUAACACGUGGAUAACCUACCUAUAAGACUGGGAUAACUUCGGGAAACCGUAGCUAAUACCGGAUAAUAUUUUGAACCGCAUGGUUCAAAAGUGAAAGACGGUCUUGCUGUCACUUAUAGAUGGAUCCGCGCUGCAUUAGCUAGUUGGUAAGGUAACGGCUUACCAAGGCAACGAUGCAUAGCCGACCUGAGAGGGUGAUCGGCCACACUGGAACGGAGACACGGUCCAGACUCCUACGGGAGGCAGCAGUAGGGAAUCUUCCGCAAUGGGCGAAAGCCUGACGGAGCAACGCCGCGUGAGUAAUGAAGGUCUUCGGAUCGUAAAACUCUGUUAUUAGGGAAGAACAUAUGUGUAAGUAACUGUGCACAUCUUGACGGUACCUAAUCAGAAAGCCACGGCUAACUACGUG
rnacentral:rRNA from 1 species